GAAGGCCAAGAAGUAUUUAAACGGAAUUUCCAUCUUAGUGAUUUCAGUCAGAAUUAUAAUAAAAAGCUAGGACAUCAGUUCUCAAAAUGUCGGAUAAAGAAGAAAAUUGGUAAUUCUUUUUAUCUAUUGGAAAAUCUACAAGGUAGAGAAUUAGGAGUGUAUCAUGCGAAAGAUAUUCGAGUCUAAUUCCCAUCUAAUCUGCCUUUGUAUGACUCGUGAGAUUAUCUGGUGGGUGUAAUGGUCGCAAAUAAAAAAAUUGGGCGUAAAAUCUCUUUCUUCUUGAGAUUUUAAAUUUGCCGCGCAAAGUUAGCGAAGACACAAACCAUGGCACGAUAAAGGGACAAUACACCUCUGCAAAUUAAAUUUCUUCUCCGUGGUGAAUUGUCUAGCGAAAGAUCGUAGGAGAAGGAGACGAGCUUUGUCACUUUGGCAACGACAGCUCUCAUUCUUUUCUUAUUGGACUACGAUCAGAGACGGAUGCAUUCUUGGUUGAUGGUUCUUUUAAAACAAAACUAAAACACAUGCAUCACCAGAAAAGAAGACAAACAUAAUCUGUCUUUAUCCUCAGCAUCCAUCGAUGCUUUUUUGCCUUGAGCAAAAUAAAUACACCAGCUCAUUACGCUUGCUACGCAAAGAUUGUGAAAAUUCGUCUAAGCCGUCAUUAUUUUUUAUUAAAUAAUACGGAUAGACAAAAUUCUACACCUAUAGUGGAUUUGAAUUCCACAAUUCCGGCGCAUGUUAGUCAGCGGAGGCCGACUAUUUCGUGCCGGAAGCCUUUUUAUAUUUCUGGUCUGCCGCCUGCAGAACCAAAAAGCAACAACAGUGAAGUGCAGUGCAUCUCUGGGCAGAUCACUCUUGCACCACUGUGCCGAGCCGCGCAAGGCUCUUGUACCAGAAUCGUCACUUCUCUCGUUUGCCGCUUCUAUCGUUCGCCGUCUCCACUCAGCAGCAGCAGCAUCAGCAGCAGUGCAGUGCCAGUGCCAGUGCUAGUGAAGAUGUGUAGUGCAAGUUUGUGAAUAAUAGUAUGACAAAAAUAAGUUUGUUAAAAUUAAAAGGUCAUACAAUAGUUGUACACAGAGGCAAUAAGAAAAGGGGUAAAAGCCCAAAUAAAAAGCAACAAGAUUUGCAUUUGCCGUCAAUUAAUAUAUUGACAACAACAAUUUAGUUGCCAUACAUAUAAAAUAAUAAGUAACAAAAAAGAUAACGAAAAGUAAAGAGAAAUAUCAAUUGUAAUUUGGCACUUAUUUUUUUUUGCGCUAUUUUUUUUUUUUGGUUUGCUUUGUUUUGUUUACCAUUCUUGCCCUAGGCAUUAAAGGGUAUAUCCAACGUGAAACACAAUAAUUCAAAAAAAUAUAUAAAUAAAUAAAUAAUGCAAAUAUAAUCUCGUACAUAAUAACAAGCCACCAUAAAACCCUGUGCAAAACAAUAAUAAUUAUGACAAUGUGUGUGUAUGUGAACAACCAAACAAAAAUAUAUACCCUAUAAGGUAUAUAAACAAUCAUUUUUAUCAUCAUCAUUAAAAUCAUCAUCAUCAUCAACAUCAUCAUUACCAACAGCAACAACAUCAUGAAGGCCUUCGUCGUGGAGUUCUGUCGGGUAAGUUUUAAGUCCGAGUGUCCGAAAUAAAAAAAUACAUAAAAGAAGUUUUAUAACAUAAAUAUUCGUACAUAUGUAAUUACAUACAUACAUACAUACAUAUGUUGGUGCCUGUUCGGCCACGCAGCAGCUGCCCACAGUUUUGCUUGCAUUGUAUUUUUCAUACUUCUUCGCAGUUGCGAAAGCUUCAAACAGCAUAUGAGCUGUCGGCUGAUACCCUAACUUUUGGGUCAGGCCUAUACCUUUUUAGUACUGAUUUGCUUCCGUUUAUAUUGUCACUAUUAUUAUUGUUUGUUGGUACAGCACAGUGGUUUGAACAUGAUUUACAAAUAAAUUAAUAAAAAGUCAAUAUUAAUUUUGGAUAAAUAAAAUAUAAAAAGUAAAUAUAAAUAAAAUAAUAACAAUUAAAAAUAAAAUAAUAAAACUUAUAAAUAAAAUAAAUAAAAAUUAAAUAAUAAAUAUGAUUCAAUAAUAAAUACAAUAAAAUAAAUAUUAAACAUGAGUAAAAAUAUUAAACCAAAAAUAAAAAUAAAUUCAAUACAAUUUUUUUUUGUUUAAAUAUGAUUAAAAUAUUGCCAAAUAAUUAAAUUAAAAAAAAAAAAAAUAAAUCAAUAAAUAAAAAUUAUAAAAGUGGUUGAGAUAUUAAAAAAUCAAUAAAUAAAAAUAAAUAUCAAAAAUAAUUAAAAAAAAAA